rnacentral:tRNA from 1 species
GGGGUUGUAGUGUAACGGUCAGCACUCUGGCCUGUCUAGCCAGGAAUCCGAGUUCAAAUCUCGGCGAUCCCG